AUGACCGAUCCGACAAUCAAGGUCCCCGACGACCUCCUUGUCGAGGUCAUCUCCCGCGUGCCGUACAAGUCCACCUGCUGCUGCAAGUGCGUCUCCACGCGCUGGCGGGACCUCAUCUCCCACCCCGACCACCGCAAGAAGCUUCCCCGGUCGACCCUCGCCGGCUUCUUCCACACAACCUCCGCCACGGGCGACCAUGGUUACCUAAGCGUCUCAGGAAGCUGGUGCCCUCAUGACGCCUCCCUCUCGUUCCUGCCCGAAUACAAGAGCCUUCAAAUCUUGGAUGGCUGCAACGGCCUCCUCCUCUGCCGAACACUGGAUGACCCCAAGACGCUGGAUUACGUGGUGUGCAAUCCGGCGACCUAGAAAUGGGUAACGGUGCCCGCCACCAAGUGGUCCUGGUUGGUGGACAGCGCUUGCCUUGGAUUUGACCCGGCCGUCUCCUCACAUUUCUAUGUGUUCGAGUUGGUACCCGCCCUUGCUUGGACUUGGUAUAAGAGGGAUGAUUAUAGCAUUGAAGCGGUGGGGAUCUACUCUUCCAAAGAUGGAGUCUGGACACAUCCAACUGUUUUGGACAAUCCAAUUGAGAUAUUCUACUUGUCAGGUGGUGUGUUCUUGAGCGGAGUAUUGUAUUUAUGUUCUAAUAAUAAUUCAGUUACAACCGUCGACCUGGAGGGAAUUUGUAGGAGCAUUCCUAUUCCCACUUCACAUGAUGCUCCUGGUUGUCCUGAUGCCUAUGUAUCACGGGGACAAUUGUAUCUCACAAUUCAAGGUGCUUCUGAACUGUCUUUCUGGGUUCUUGAAGAUUCUAUUAGUGAAAAUUGUUGGACCCUGAAGCUCAAUAUCAGCUACUUGCGACUGUUUGGAAUAGACUAUUCAAGCUCUGGGCGAUUUUACGGUGUUAUCUCAGCCCACCCAGAACACAAUGUGAUAUUCAUAAUCAAAGAAUUUAUAUCGAGAUGCCGAUCACUGAGAAAAUUAUAUUCAUAUGAAAUGGAUUCUGGGGAACUGCAUUUCAUAUGUGACCUUCCAAGGAAUUCCAGGUUGCCUUAUCUUUCCUAUGUUCCUUUGUUCUCGGAGUCAUUAGCAGACGGGCACUAA
rnacentral:rRNA from 1 species